rnacentral:rRNA from 1 species
GAUGAACACUGGCGGCGUGCCUAAUACAUGCAAGUAGAACGCUGAAGGAAGGAGCUUGCUCUUUCCGGAUGAGUUGCGAACGGGUGAGUAACGCGUAGGUAACCUGCCUGGUAGCGGGGGAUAACUAUUGGAAACGAUAGCUAAUACCGCAUAACAGUAGAUGUUGCAUGAUAUCUACUUAAAAGGUGCAAUUGCACCACUACCAGAUGGACCUGCGUUGUAUUAGCUAGUUGGUGAGGUAACGGCUCACCAAGGCGACGAUACAUAGCCGACCUGAGAGGGUGAUCGGCCACACUGGGACUGAGACACGGCCCAGACUCCUACGGGAGGCAGCAGUAGGGAAUCUUCGGCAAUGGACGGAAGUCUGACCGAGCAACGCCGCGUGAGUGAAGAAGGUUUUCGGAUCGUAAAGCUCUGUUGUAAGAGAAGAACGAGUGUGAGAGUGGAAAGUUCACACUGUGACGGUAUCUUACCAGAAAGGGACGGCUAACUACGUG